rnacentral:rRNA from 1 species
CCCUACGGGGUGCACCAGGAAGAGUUGUUGCAGGGUGUUUUUGGAAGCCAGCGCGAAGGCGUCCAGCCCGUCCCGGUCGGCGUGGCCGCUGAAGGCGUUGAUGAUCCGCACUUCCGCUUCCAGCGAAUGCUCCAUGCCGAAAAUGCGCACGGUCGGCUCGCGGUCAACGAUUUUACGCCCCAGGGUAUGUUUGGCCUGGAAACCCACGAUAAGAAUCAUGUUGUUGGGAUCGGCGAUGUUGUUGCGCAGGUGGUGCAAGACCCGCCCGGCCUCGCACAUGCCCGAUGCGGACAUAAUCACCAUCGGCCCGCUUUCGUCGUGGAGCGCCUGCGAAGCCUCCUUGCUGCGCACGACGUUCAGAUCGGGAAAUUCGAAGGGAUCUUCUGUCACUUCGAAGAGUGACUGGAUCUCCUCGUCGUAGCAGUCGGGAUGCAGGCGGAAAAUAUCGGUCACCUUGAUGGCGGGAGGGC